rnacentral:rRNA from 1 species
CCCUUAGAUGUUCUGGGCCGCACGCGCGCUACACUGAUGCAUUCAACAAGUUCACCUUGGCCGAGAGGCUUGGGCAAUCUUUUGAACAUGCAUCGUGAUAGGGAUAGAUUAUUGCAAUUAUUAAUCUUGAACGAGGAAUUCCUAGUAAACGUAGAUCAUCAAUCUGCAUUGAUUACGUCCCUGCCCUUUGUACACACCGCCCGUCGCUCCUACCGAUUGAGUGGUCCGGUGAGGCUUUGGGAUCUGAGCGGAAAGAGCGUUUCGCUGUUUCUGCUCGGAAAACUCAGUCGAACCUUAUCAUUUAGAGGAAGGAGAAGUCGUAACA